rnacentral:rRNA from 1 species
GGAGUCUGGGCCGUGUCUCAGUCCCAGUCUGGAUGAUCAUCUUCUCAAACCAUCUAACGAUCGUCGACUUGGUAGGCCAUUACUCUACCAACUAUCUAAUCGUACGCAGGCCAGUCCCAAACCGUCCGAAGACUUUAAUCCGAAGAUCAUAUGCGGUAUUAGCCACUCUUUCGAGUAGUUAUCCCUCAGUUUGGGGUCCGUUCCCACGCGUUACUCAGCCGUCCGCCGCUCGUCAGCAGGGUCUCACUGUUCCCUCGAAGUUUGCACAACCUACGAAAUAGCGCUAGGUGUGUCAAGGAAACGGUGAGACCCCCUGUUACCGCUCGACUUGCAUGUAUUAGGCACGCCGCCAGCAUUCAUC